rnacentral:rRNA from 1 species
UACGGAGGGUGCAAGCGUUACUCGGAAUCACUGGGCGUAAAGCGCGCGCAGGCGGCCUUUUAAGUUGGAUGUGAAAGCCUACGGCUUAACCGUAGAACUGCAUCCAGAACUACUAGGCUAGAGUGUGGGAGAGGAAGAUGGAAUUAGUUGUGUAGGGGUAAAAUCCGUAGAGAUAACUAGGAAUACCAAAAGCGAAGGCAAUCUUCUGGAACACUACUGACGCUGAGGCGCGAAAGCGUGGGGAGCAAACAGGAUUAGAUACCCUGGUAGUCCACGCCCUAAACGAUGAAUGUUAGUCGUCGGGUAGCUAGUCUAUUCGGUGAUGCAGCUAACGCAUUAAACAUUCCGCCUGGGGAGUACGGUCGCAAGAUUAAAACUCAAAGGAAUAGACGGGGACCCGCACAAGUGGUGGAGCAUGUGGUUUAAUUCGAAGAUACGCGAAGAACCUUACCUAGCCUUGACAUAUAUUAGAACACUUUAGAGAUAGAGUGGUGCCUUCGGGAGCUUUUAUACAGGUGCUGCACGGCUGUCGUCAGCUCGUGUCGUGAGAUGUUGGGUUAAGUCCCGCAACGAGCGCAACCCUCGCCACUAGUUACUAACGGUUCGGCCGAGGACUCUAGUGAGACUGCCUUCGCAAGGAGGAGGAAGGUGAGGACGACGUCAAGUCAUCAUGGCCCUUACGGCUAGGGCAACACACGUGCUACAAUGGCCAGGACAAUGAGACGCAAUACCGCGAGGUGGAGCAAAUCUAUAAACCUGGUCUCAGUUCGGAUUGUAGUCUGCAACUCGACUACAUGAAGCUGGAAUCACUAGUAAUCGUAGAUCAGCUAUGCUACGGUGAAUACGUUUCCAGGGUCU